GACGAACCGUGCGAACGUUAUUCGGAAUCACUGGGCUUAAAGCGCGUGUAGGCGGAAGGGCACGUCCGUUGCUGAAAUCCCCCGGCUCAACCGGGGAAGGGGCGCGGAUACGACUCUUCUGGAGGGGCGUAGGGGGACCUGGAACUUCCGGUGGAGCGGUGAAAUGCGUUGAGAUCGGAAGGAACGCCCGUGGCGAAAGCGAGGUCCUGGACGCCUACUGACGCUGAGACGCGAAAGCCAGGGGAGCGAACGGG
rnacentral:misc_RNA from 1 species